UUAAGCGACUAAGCGUACACGGUGGAUGCCCUGGCAGUCAGAGGCGAUGAAGGACGUGCUAAUCUGCGAAAAGCGUCGGUAAGGUGAUAUGAACCGUUAUAACCGGCGAUGUCCGAAUGGGGAAACCCAGUGUGAUUCGUCACACUAUCGUUAACUGAAUACAUAGGUUAACGAGGCGAACCGGGGGAACUGAAACAUCUAAGUACCCCGAGGAAAAGAAAUCAACCGAGAUUCCCCCAGUAGCGGCGAGCGAACGGGGAGCAGCCCAGAGUCUGAAUCAGCUUGUGUGUUAGUGGAACGGUCUGGAAAGUCCGACGGUACAGGGUGAUAGUCCCGUACACCAAAAUGCACAGGCUGUGAACUCGAAGAGUAGGGCGGGACACGUGGUAUCCUGUCUGAAUAUGGGGGGACCAUCCUCCAAGGCUAAAUACUCCUGACUGACCGAUAGUGAACCAGUACCGUGAGGGAAAGGCGAAAAGAACCCCGGCGAGGGGAGUGAAAAAGAACCUGAAACCGUGUACGUACAAGCAGUGGGAGCACCUUCGGGUGUGACUGCGUACCUUUUGUAUAAUGGGUCAGCGACUUAUAUUCUGUAGCAAGGUUAACCGUAUAGGGGAGCCGCAGGGAAACCGAGUCUUAACUGGGCGUUAAGUUGCAGGGUAUAGACCCGAAACCCGGUGAUCUAGCCAUGGGCAGGUUGAAGGUUGGGUAACACUAACUGGAGGACCGAACCGACUAAUGUUGAAAAAUUAGCGGAUGACUUGUGGCUGGGGGUGAAAGGCCAAUCAAACCGGGAGAUAGCUGGUUCUCCCCGAAAGCUAUUUAGGUAGCGCCUCGUGAAUUCAUCUUCGGGGGUAGAGCACUGUUUCGGCUAGGGGGUCAUCCCGACUUACCAACCCGAUGCAAACUACGAAUACCGAAGAAUGUUAUCACGGGAGACACACGGCGGGUGCUAACGUCCGUCGUGAAGAGGGAAACAACCCAGACCGCCAGCUAAGGUCCCAAAGUCAUGGUUAAGUGGGAAACGAUGUGGGAAGGCACAGACAGCCAGGAUGUUGGCUUAGAAGCAGCCAUCAUUUAAAGAAAGCGUAAUAGCUCACUGGUCGAGUCGGCCUGCGCGGAAGAUGUAACGGGGCUAAACCAUGCACCGAAGCUGCGGCAGCGACACUAUGUGUUGUUGGGUAGGGGAGCGUUCUGUAAGCCUGCGAAGGUGACCUGUGAGGGUUGCUGGAGGUAUCAGAAGUGCGAAUGCUGACAUAAGUAACGAUAAAGCGGGUGAAAAGCCCGCUCGCCGGAAGACCAAGGGUUCCUGUCCAACGUUAAUCGGGGCAGGGUGAGUCGACCCCUAAGGCGAGGCCGAAAGGCGUAGUCGAUGGGAAACAGGUUAAUAUUCCUGUACUUGGUGUUACUGCGAAGGGGGGACGGAGAAGGCUAUGUUAGCCGGGCGACGGUUGUCCCGGUUUAAGCAUGUAGGCUGGUUAUCCAGGCAAAUCCGGAUAAUCAAGGCUGAGGUGUGAUGACGAGGCACUACGGUGCUGAAGUAACAAAUGCCCUGCUUCCAGGAAAAGCCUCUAAGCAUCAGGUAACAUCAAAUCGUACCCCAAACCGACACAGGUGGUCAGGUAGAGAAUACCAAGGCGCUUGAGAGAACUCGGGUGAAGGAACUAGGCAAAAUGGUGCCGUAACUUCGGGAGAAGGCACGCUGGUGUGUAGGUGAAGCCCCUGCGGGUGGAGCUGAGACCAGUCGAAGAUACCAGCUGGCUGCAACUGUUUAUUAAAAACACAGCACUGUGCAAACACGAAAGUGGACGUAUACGGUGUGACGCCUGCCCGGUGCCGGAAGGUUAAUUGAUGGGGUUAUCCGUAAGGAGAAGCUCUUGAUCGAAGCCCCGGUAAACGGCGGCCGUAACUAUAACGGUCCUAAGGUAGCGAAAUUCCUUGUCGGGUAAGUUCCGACCUGCACGAAUGGCGUAAUGAUGGCCAGGCUGUCUCCACCCGAGACUCAGUGAAAUUGAACUCGCUGUGAAGAUGCAGUGUACCCGCGGCAAGACGGAAAGACCCCGUGAACCUUUACUAUAGCUUGACACUGAACAUUGAGCCUUGAUGUGUAGGAUAGGUGGGAGGCUUUGAAGCGUGGACGCCAGUCUGCGUGGAGCCAACCUUGAAAUACCACCCUUUAAUGUUUGAUGUUCUAACGUUGGCCCCUGACCGGGGUUGCGGACAGUGUCUGGUGGGUAGUUUGACUGGGGCGGUCUCCUCCCAAAGCGUAACGGAGGAGCACGAAGGUUAGCUAAUCCUGGUCGGACAUCAGGAGGUUAGUGCAAUGGCAUAAGCUAGCUUGACUGCGAGCGUGACGGCGCGAGCAGGUGCGAAAGCAGGUCAUAGUGAUCCGGUGGUUCUGAAUGGAAGGGCCAUCGCUCAACGGAUAAAAGGUACUCCGGGGAUAACAGGCUGAUACCGCCCAAGAGUUCAUAUCGACGGCGGUGUUUGGCACCUCGAUGUCGGCUCAUCACAUCCUGGGGCUGAAGUAGGUCCCAAGGGUAUGGCUGUUCGCCAUUUAAAGUGGUACGCGAGCUGGGUUUAGAACGUCGUGAGACAGUUCGGUCCCUAUCUGCCGUGGGCGCUGGAGAAUUGAGGGGGGCUGCUCCUAGUACGAGAGGACCGGAGUGGACGCAUCACUGGUGUUCGGGUUGUCAUGCCAAUGGCACUGCCCGGUAGCUAAAUGCGGAAGAGAUAAGUGCUGAAAGCAUCUAAGCACGAAACUUGCCCCGAGAUGAGUUCUCCCUGAGACUUUAAGUCUCCUGAAGGAACGUUGAAGACGAUGACGUUGAUAGGCCGGGUGUGUAAGCGCAGCGAUGCGUUGAGCUAACCGGUACUAAUGAACCGUGAGGCUUAACCUU
rnacentral:rRNA from 1 species